AGUUUUAUAGUCAAUUGAUGAUGUUAAAUUGCAAAUUUAAAGGUGGUAUUUUACCUAAGGCUU
rnacentral:tRNA from 1 species